GUGUGGUUUAAUUAGCAUACUGUUCAAUAGGACCUUGUUUCUUCAUAUCAUUGUCCCUAUGGUGUAUGUGUAUGCAUGAGCACAUGUGGAUGCUUUGGUGUUUUUUUUUUUUUUUACUCUUUUUUAUUAAUUCUUUGUGAGUUUCACAUCAUGCACCCUAGUCCUCUUCAUUUCUCCAUUCCAUCCUAUGUACCAUUUGCCUGUCCAAACUCACCCACAAAAUAGAAAACACACACUCAAGCCAAACACACACACACAAACACACACAAAACAUCUCAUCAUGGAAGUUGUCCUAUGACACAGUGUGUCCCACAAUAUAUUUCUCUGUCCACACAUCUUCACUUGCAAGUGUUCAUUGAAAUGCACCAUUGGUCUAGUUUAUGAUCUCUGGCUUCUCUGACACCAAUAAUGGAUCCCCAAUGGGACUCCUCCUCGUUAUGCUAUUUUUGCCCUGUGUCAUGGAGAUCCUUUUUCUUUGGAUUUCACACAUCCCAACCAAUUGCAGAUGACAUAGAUUUUGUGGCCAUCUUAGAGGCCUAAGUAGUACCAGAGUUAUUCAGCCAUCACCACCAGUGCAAGCUUUCCAGCACUGCUCUGAUGAGGCCACUCAAUGCCAUCAUCAGUAGGAGGCACCUCUCCUGCUGUCAUGCCCUCAGGCCUGGCUCAUGCCUCUAGAGCCAGGUCCACUGUGCUGACCAGCCAAAGCACAUGACUCACUCUCUCAAGUGCUACAACCUAUGAGGAACAGGGACAGUUCACCUGUUCUUCUGAAUCCAGGGUCAGCUCUCCUAACUGCAGCAGGUGGUUAGGAGAAAUGGGAGGCAGGGAGGCAUAACUCUCACACCCAAGCCAUCUCACAGCAAGUGAGUAGCCUGGCUAGCUCUCCCCUCCUCUGGUCCUUAAGGAUGACUUGCCAGCACCCCUUUACUUAGGGCCAGCACUACUAUGCUUUACAGGAGAGGUGCAGGGAUUGCUUUCCUGGUUGUUCCAGGCACUAAAGAGUCAGAUCUUCCAACUACUGCAUAUGGUGAGGAGCAACAUGGGUGUGGGAAGGAGGCAUCACCCCUACAUCUAGGCCAUGUCAUGUCAGACAAUUGGGAAGUGGUGGGAUCAGCGCUUCUAUUCUCUUCCUACAGAGUGUGUUGUCCAGGCAAGGUGCAGGGCCUGCUUUUUCAAGUACUGCAGGUGGGAGGGGCAGGGAUAUCUCUUCUGAGCUCAGGAACCUCUAGGCAGCUUUCUCAGAUGCCUGCCAGAGGUGGCAAGGGGUGGUGAGGACAUCACCUCUGCACUGGUGUCACCCCACUCCGUAGCAGAUCAGAUUUACCAUACUCACACCUUUCAAGCUGGCUCACCCACACCCCUUUUACCCGGGCCAGCUCUCCUGUGCUUCUUGAGUGCAUUAUAGGGCCUUCUCUGGUGAGUGCUAACAGCAGCAAAAGACAGGACCAACUCUCUGGAGCUCUGUAUCCAAUGACAAGGGUGGCCAGAUCUGCAAAGUUCCUGGACAUCCUGUUGGUCUACACUGGCUGCCCUGACUAGGGAUGUCUGCAUCCAUAGGCAUCAAUGCAGGUAUCUAUAGCCUGCCAAUGCUGUGAACUAAAGGACAGGUCUGUGGAUGGCAUGGCAGUCUGUAGGUCUGUCUGCCUUCCUCCUUCCAUGCUGCACUGCCAAAAUUGGAUUAGAAUAGAUUAGAUUAGAUUAGAUUAGAUUAGAUUAGAUUGGAUUGGAUUGGAUUGGAUUGGAUUGGAUUGAAUUGGAUUGGAUUGGAUUGGAUUGGAUUGGAUUGGAUUUUUAUGAGUCCUGGGCAUAAAACAGCUUUGGCCACCAAGCCAGGCAUCAAUUGCCCUCUCCUCUGCCCUGACUAAUAUAAGAAUACCACCACCAACACACCACCAAGGUGUCUCUCCGCCCGUUGCAGGUUUUUAUAUGCAGGUGCAUGUGUAUCUAUGAGUGUGGAGAUCAAAGGACAAUUUUGAAUGUCAUGCCUCAAGUACGAUGUCAUUAUCAAAUAGUCUAGAUCAAUGAAGUCUAGGUAUGCUCUUGUCUUGGCAGACUUUCCCAGCACUGCCAUGCUUAGCCUUUUAAAAUGUGCACUCUGAUAAUUUGGCUUAGGUCCUUGUUCAUGCAGCACGAUAGCUUAACUAAUUUCUAACCUCUUGUCUCGGUUUUAAGAAAGUUUCUGCUUAGCAAAUUCAGAAUCAACAAGUUAAUAUAUAACACAGAGUGGUCGAAUCCUUGCUUUUAAAUGGACCCCUUGCACUGAAUUUAACAGUAUAAGUUAAAACUAUAUUAUAAGCAAUACAUUGAUGACAAUAUGAAAAGAUAUUGUACCAUGGCCCUGAUAGUUAUUCACAAGCUCAAGCAGCUCUUCUACCAAAGGCCAAUGCAAAUACUUCUCAUCCAUGUGGCUACUAAAUACAUUUCUGUUCUUGCCUGGAUGAUUUCCUUCAUGUUUGACAUUCACUGUCUUGUAUCCUUUGAGAGCCUGACAGUUGUCUAUGCCUCAAUGGACUUCAUCAAGCUUAUUGCUUGGCUUGAAUCAAGACCAAUAUAGAAACUACUAAGAGAGAAAAGCAGUCACUUUAGUCUCAGCCUUUAAUCAGUGCCCCUUUCAUUUGCCCUGCCUACAGCCUUUGCACUCCCUUCUGUACAGAGCAUGGUCUCUGGGAUGCACUGGGGCAGUCCUUUAUUACCCUGUGAGGGCUUAAGUCCUCAGUGACAAUGAACAUUGUCAUCUCCAAGCAGUCACAGCUGCACUGCUGAUCUCAGCUCUGAACUACACAGGUUGGUUUCACUCAGUGCAACUCUGGAACUCCAAGGAAGCACAGAUGCCCUGAGGUUUGAUUUAGAAAUCUAGGCGGUGGCUCAAAAAUUUAAAUGUUUAAAACCUUCCAGGUCUGUCAUGUUUUCCCACUUCCAAAAACUCUGAAUAAUUUUCCGGAUCACCCAUGGCCUAAUUAAUUUCCUUUGUUGCGACUCUGGAAUAAAUCUGCAGUGUGCUUCCAGGUGGGUAAGCUAAGGAGGCAUGGCUUUGAAGCUCAUUUGCAUGUUCCUGGUGGGUACCCAGAAUUACAGGCAUUUAGGAGAGGGGAGCCAGCUUGCAUUCAUCAGGUAUUUGUAUCUGAAAGUCUCUGGGAAACUGCCACAGAAGACCUCAAAGCAAAGGGAUAUAUAACACAGAGACAGACAUUCUUGCGUUUUUUUCUUUUUUACACCAAAUAAACAGAUACUUGCAUAGUCAAUGAUUAGGAGAUAUUAGCUUUAAGAGUAGACUAACAAAGAAGAUAAGAAUGCUCCAUGAGGAAAGCAAGCACAGCAUCUUGACCUGAGUUCAAUUCCUGGAAUCUGUGUAGUAGAAGGAGUUGACCAGCAUGUACAAGACGUCCUCACAUCUCUGCAAGUAUAUCAUGUAUAUAUGAACAUGUGCACUCACACAGAUGUAUGCACACACAGACACAGAGAGAGAACAGAAGGGGGAACACUUGCACACACUAAGUAAAUAUGUAAAUUGUGUUUGCAAUCACAAUGGGCCAGGGAUAUAUAAUGUACUGUUGCUAAGCUGGAGUACAAGUAAAUCAGUUCCAUUUCAUACUGGAAAGCAAUAUGGUGUAAUAAAAAUUAUGAGGCCUAUAGGUCCCAGUAUAUAAAGUUCUAGCUUAAGAUACCAACAUUGUGUACCAGCCUGGUAAUUUUGUGGGAAGAAUAAGAUGAGAAUUUACAGUGUUUAUCCAUCUUUGUCACAUAUAUUAUAGGACAAAUAAAUACUUGUUCCUUGCCCAGUAAAUUUGCCUCUAUUAAGCAAAACACUCCCGAAGAAGGCAAAGUCAUCCUUGUCUAUGGCCACACGUAUAAACUGAGCACAGUAAAGUUUUGUUCUUGCUGUUGGUUUUUCAUUGAUGGAUUUAGAGGGUGGAUCUUUAAACUCUCAUGUGGUUACAGAGGAAAAUUCAAAGUCUCUCCUACAGAUCUGCAUAUAAGCAAUCCUGACAGUGCUGUAGAGAUGCAGAAAUGUUGGACUAUUCUAUAGGUCAGAAGGGGAUUCUUUUUCUAGCC
rnacentral:lncRNA from 1 species